rnacentral:rRNA from 1 species
GAUGAACGCUGGCGGCGUGCUUAACACAUGCAAGUCGAGCGGAAAGGCCCUUCGCGUUAUUCGCUCGCGGAACGGGUGCGUAACACGUGAACAACCGGCCCCCGACUUUGUAAUAACCCUCGAAAACCGGGGCUACUACCCGAUACGACACAGCUUCGCUUGGGGUCUGUGUGCAAUGGUUGACGGCUUUGGUUCGGCCGGCGGUCUAUCAGCUUGUUCGUGGGUUGUUGGCCUACCAAGGCACCGACUGGUAGCCGGCCUGUGCGGGGGAACGGCCACAAGGGGACUGAGAGAGGGACCAGACGCCAACGGGAGGCAACAGUGGGGAGUAUUGCAGAAUGGGGGGAAGCCUGAGGCAGCGGCGCCGCGUGAGGGAUGACGGCCUUCGGGUUGUGAACCUCUGUCGGCAGGAAAGAGGCGUAAGUGACGGUACCUGCAGAAGAAGCGCCGGCUAACUACGUG